rnacentral:rRNA from 1 species
UACGUAGGGUCCGAGCGUUGUCCGGAAUUACUGGGCGUAAAGAGCUCGUAGGUGGUUUGUCGCGUUGUUCGUGAAAACUCACAGCUUAACUGUGGGCGUGCGGGCGAUACGGGCAGACUUGAGUACUGCAGGGGAGACUGGAAUUCCUGGUGUAGCGGUGGGAAUGCGCCAGAUAUCAGGAGGAACACCGGUGGCGAAGGCGGGUCUCUGGGCAGUAACUGACGCUGAGGAGCGAAAGCGUGGGGAGCGAACAGG